GAGACCCGUGCCCACUGUUACCAGCAUGUCCUCCGGGACGAUGGGUACUCUGUGGGGACCGCCGGUGUUAAAUCGGAGGAAGGUGCGGGCCACGGUAGGUCAGUAUGCCCCGAAUUUUCCGGGCUACACGCGGGCUACAAUGAAUGGGACAAUGGGUCCCUACCCUGAAAAGGGCUGGUAAUCUCACAAACCCAUCCGUAGUUCGGAUCGAGGGCUGUAACUCGCCCUCGUGAAGCUGGAAUCCGUAGUAAUCGCGUUUCAAUAUAGCGCGGUGAAUAC
rnacentral:rRNA from 1 species